UGGGUGUGUAGCUCAGUGGUCAAGCAUGUGCUUAUUAGUACGCACAGGCCCUGGGUUCAAACCCCAGCACUAA
rnacentral:tRNA from 1 species